rnacentral:rRNA from 1 species
CCCAGCAGCAUACCACCCUGCACCCCACUGCUGGCUUGCCUCUGAAGCUAAGCAGGGUUGGUUCUGGUUGGUCCUUGGAUAGGAGGCCAGAUGCUGUUGGAA